rnacentral:lncRNA from 1 species
UGGUUGUUCCGGUUGAAACCCAAAAACAUGCCCAGAAUAGCCACUUCAACCCUAAACAAGAACCUUUUUGUAUUCUCCAAAAGAAAAAAAAAAAAAACAACUCGAUUUCAAUAGGUCCAUUAGCGUUUAUCUUUUGUUCUUAAAACCAGACACAGAUACGACAUAUGAUCGAACUCUUUCUUGAUAAUAAUAAUAAUUAAUAAUGUUG